rnacentral:rRNA from 1 species
GACGAAGGUGGCAACCGUUGUUCGGAAUCACUGGGCAUAAAGCGCACGUAGGCGGGAGAGCAAGUCGGGUGUGAAAUCCCUCGGCCCAACCGAGGAACUGCGCCCGAUACUGCUUUCCUUGAGGCUAGGAGGGGAGCGUGGAAUUCCUGGUGGAGCGGUGAAAUGCGUUGAUAUCAGGAGGAACACCGGCGGCGAAGGCGACGCUCUGGCCUAUUUCUGACGCUAAGGUGCGAAAGCCAGGGGAGCAAACGGG